UCUAGGAAGGUCUGUAAGAGAGAGAGAGAGGAGAAAUGUUGAAUUGUUGAAAGCUUUGAGAUUGGUGCGGCGGUUGCCCAAGGACUCAAGGCCUUACUACGCCAAGUACCUUCGCGAGACCAACCUCUCGACGACGUCUUCAAUCGUGCUUACCUUCAUUCCCUCUAGGUCCUCAACAAGUACUCUGUUGAUGAAUCCGCCGCGGAUAAAGAUCUGCACCGGUUCGUUGAGGUGUUCUUCUCCUCAUUUGUACUCAAAAUGAGGUUUUGAUUCGUUUUAGGGUUCUGAAAGAGUUAUCGGAAGACUAGACUAUGAAACAAUGCUGUGUAAGGAUUUUGAAAUAAUAAAGACAACAUAUAUGAAAGAUUAUGGUAAUGGUUUCGGGGUACUGUGUUAAUUCUUUCUGCACUUUGUGAUAGCUGUUGCCUUUUGUUUUUCCAAUUAAGGUAUGAUUUUUCCUUUUCUGAACUUGAGAUGGAGCCUCACAACACAUGUCUCUAGUUAUGUGAACAAGGAUGAUUAGGAUUUCUGAUGGCAGGGGAACUUUGAUUCCGCUGUAUAAGUAGUUUGCUGUAUUAGGGAGUUGAACUGAGCUAUAGGAUGAUAGGUACAAUGAUUCCCUUCAUUCCUUCAAAACAUGAAGUCUAGGAAGUCUUUUUGUUAAGUCAUGUUUAUUUUAGAUAGAAGGGGAUGGAACCCUCUGAAGUUUUCAUGCAAAUUUUUGAUAUUUUUGGGUUGUGUGGUGGCUUCAUCCCUUGGUUUUUUUGACCAAAACCCUAAACUCCUAGCUUGACAAGACUAAAAAAAAAAAAUUGCAACCCAAAACCCCAAAUUGGUAACUAUGGAGGCUUGUCAGCAAAGAAGUUACAAGUUUGUUCAGGGAUGUUUUGGACAUGUUCAUUGUUGUUCACAUUGGGAGUCAUCGUCGCAGCCAUGUUGCUUAUAUCCAGGCAAUUGAUGUGCAUUACAGUGACAAGAGACUUGGUGGAAAUUGUGGGAAUUAUAAUCAGGAAAUUGUAUGUUU